rnacentral:rRNA from 1 species
UGGGGAAUUUUGGACAAUGGGCGAAAGCCUGAUCCAGCAAUGCCGCGUGUGUGAAGAAGGCCUUCGGGUUGUAAAGCACUUUUGUCCGGAAAGAAAUCCUUGGCUCUAAUACAGUCGGGGGAUGACGGUACCGGAAGAAUAAGCACCGGCUAACUACGUGCCAGCAGCCGCGGUAAUACGUAGGGUGCAAGCGUUAAUCGGAAUUACUGGGCGUAAAGCGUGCGCAGGCGGUUUGCUAAGACCGAUGUGAAAUCCCCGGGCUCAACCUGGGAACUGCAUUGGUGACUGGCAGGCUAGAGUAUGGCAGAGGGGGGUAGAAUUCCACGUGUAGCAGUGAAAUGCGUAGAGAUGUGGAGGAAUACCGAUGGCGAAGGCAGCCCCCUGGGCCAAUACUGACGCUCAUGCACGAAAGCGUGGGGAGCAAACAGGAUUAGAUACCCCUGGUAGUCCACGCCCUAAACGAUGUCAACUAGUUGUUGGGGAUUCAUUUCCUUAGUAACGUAGCUAACGCGUGAAGUUGACCGCCUGGGGAGUACGGUCGCAAGAUUAAAACUCAAAUGAAUUGAC